ACGUGAGUAAUCUGCCCUUCACUUGGGGAUAACCUCCGGAAACGGUGGCUAAUACCCGAUACGACCAUUCCAGGCAUCUGGUGGUGGUGGAAAGUUUUUUCGGUGGGGGAUGUGCUCGCGGCCUAUCAGCUUGUUGGUGGGGUAAUGGCCUACCAAGGCUUCGACGGGUAGCCGGCCUGAGAGGGUGACCGGCCACACUGGGACUGAGACACGGCCCAGACUCCUACGGGAGGCAGCAGUGGGGAAUAUUGGACAAUGGGCGGAAGCCUGAUCCAGCAACGCCGCGUGAGGGAUGACGGCCUUCGGGUUGUAAACCUCUUUCACCGAUGACGAAGCGCAAGUGACGGUAGUCGGAGAAGAAGCACCGGCCAACUACGUGCCAGCAGCCGCGGUAAUACGUAGGGUGCGAGCGUUGUCCGGAAUUAUUGGGCGUAAAGGGCUCGUAGGCGGUUUGUCGCGUCGGGAGUGAAAACACGGGGCUUAACUCCGUGCUUGCUUUCGAUACGGGCAGACUAGAGGUAUGCAGGGGAGAACGGAAUUCCUGGUGUAGCGGUGAAAUGCGCAGAUAUCAGGAGGAACACCGGUGGCGAAGGCGGUUCUCUGGGCAUGACCUGACGCUGAGGAGCGAA
rnacentral:rRNA from 1 species